rnacentral:rRNA from 1 species
GACGAACGCUGGCGGCGUGCUUAACACAUGCAAGUCGAACGGAAAGGCCCUGCUUUUGUGGGGUGCUCGAGUGGCGAACGGGUGAGUAACACGUGAGUAACCUGCCCUUGACUUUGGGAUAACUUCAGGAAACUGGGGCUAAUACCGGAUAGGAGCUCCUGCUGCAUGGUGGGGGUUGGAAAGUUUCGGCGGUUGGGGAUGGACUCGCGGCUUAUCAGCUUGUUGGUGGGGUAGUGGCUUACCAAGGCUUUGACGGGUAGCCGGCCUGAGAGGGUGACCGGCAACAUUGGGACUGAGAUACGGACCAGACUCCUACGGGAGGCAGCAGUGGGGAAUAUUGCACAAUGGGCGGAAGCCUGAUGAAGCAACGCCGCGUGCGGGAUGACGGCCUUCGGGUUGUAAACCGCUUUCGCCUGUGACGAAGCGUGAGUGACGGUAAUGGGUAAAGAAGCACCGGCUAACUACGUG